ACUGGAACUACAGCUGCAGCUACCCACCGCUUCGGGGCCCCUACAGGCUGUCUCACUGGAACUACAGCUGCAGCUACCAGCAGCAUCGGGCCCCCUACAGUAUGAUAGAGGUGACGAUAUUGACCAUCAGACUUUGCCAUGGAGGAUUCCACCUGAGGCCAAUCCAAAACCUUCCAUUAAAAGAAAAUGGGAGGAUGUGGAAUCGGCCGGUAUCAGAAGAAGGCCAGACAGCCUCGGUCCAGAGAGGAAGAGGAGAAGAGUGGACACCAUCUCCGGCCCAUAAGGUUGCUGGGCAUGAGGAAGACACAGACCUGUUUCAUUGGCACUUUCUAAAUCAAUCAAAUAAAUGUAAUUUGUUGUC